rnacentral:rRNA from 1 species
GCGGCAGGCUUAACACAUGCAAGUCGAGCGGGGAUAGGGUGCUUGCACCUGAUUCCUAGCGGCGGACGGGUGAGUAAUGCUUAGGAAUCUGCCUAUUAGUGGGGGACAACGUUCCGAAAGGGACGCUAAUACCGCAUACGUCCUACGGGAGAAAGCAGGGGAUCUUCGGACCUUGCGCUAAUAGAUGAGCCUAAGUCGGAUUAGCUAGUUGGUGGGGUAAAGGCCUACCAAGGCGACGAUCUGUAGCGGGUCUGAGAGGAUGAUCCGCCACACUGGGACUGAGACACGGCCCAGACUCCUACGGGAGGCAGCAGUGGGGAAUAUUGGACAAUGGGGGGAACCCUGAUCCAGCCAUGCCGCGUGUGUGAAGAAGGCCUUUUGGUUGUAAAGCACUUUAAGCGAGGAGGAGGCUUACCUGGUUAAUACCUGGGAUAAGUGGACGUUACUCGCAGAAUAAGCACCGGCUAACUCUGUGCCAGCAGCCGCGGUAAUACAGAGGGUGCAAGCGUUAAUCGGAUUUACUGGGCGUAAAGCGCGCGUAGGUGGCUAAUUAAGUCAAAUGUGAAAUCCCCGAGCUUAACUUGGGAAUUGCAUUCGAUACUGGUUAGCUAGAGUAUGGGAGAGGAUGGUAGAAUUCCAGGUGUAGCGGUGAAAUGCGUAGAGAUCUGGAGGAAUACCGAUGGCGAAGGCAGCCAUCUGGCCUAAUACUGACACUGAGGUGCGAAAGCAUGGGGAGCAAACAGGAUUAGAUACCCUGGUAGUCCAUGCCGUAAACGAUGUGUACUAGCCGUUGGGGCCCUUGAGGCUUUAGUGGCGCAGCUAACG